ensembl:lncRNA
AUGCCGCAAGAAACCUGGGAGAUUGGCAGUUUACCACUAGCACGUACCGGCGUACAAUACAAAUGGAUUACACCAGACGUUAUUUGCUCUAACCAAUACGCAGGCCUUGCCCUUUGCCGUCUCUCGUCUCGAGCUUCUCGCUCACAACCAAUCACGUUCUUCUGGUCACUAGUUCUUAAUUGAUUUCAGCUGCGUCUCCCCCGCCUCUCCUCAUAAAGGGCCCCCACCGUGUCGGAUGUUAAUCGUUUAUUUUGCGUUGGAUUGCGUGCGCUGAACAAUCCGGACAUCGUGGCCACCGACGUGGACACCCCGCCACGAGACCCACGCACACCGACCACCACACUGGGAAGUGUCCUCUGCUCCCUGUGGAAGCAGCAUGGAAGAACUGCAGCAACUCUGAUGGAAACUACCGGGCCUCCACGCUGUUGAACACAAACUGUAGGCCUACUACAAACAGAGGCGGUCCCACUCGGUUAAAGAUCUCGAGGUCAAUGCGGCAGACCGCUGGACCUGGACGUCACCUUCUGCAGAUACUUCACUGCCCUCAGGAAUCCACGGAUAAGGUGAAACAUGUCCGAAAAAUGUCCGAAAAAUCCAAGAUGGAAACUUGUGGAAGGAAGAAAGGGUUCUAUUUUUGCUCAACCCAUAACCCCACUGAGACCUUCUGUGGAAACCUGUCUGACUGACUGACCCUACUGACUGGGGGCCUGUUGAUGUGUGUUUGGUUGGUCUGGUAGAAGGUUUGCUGCUUGUGAUCUGCAAGGUGGUCCUGGGUUAGAUGCGGUGUCUGACUUGCACACCACUCUCCCAAUUCUAUUCUUCUCUUUACUACUUUUCUACUUUCAAUACACUUGCUGCUGCUGCUGUUGACCGCUGGUGGUGCAAUGUGGUUUUUAUUCGCGUAUGUUCUGUGGACUUUGCAUUUGUAUUAAUGAACAUGUUUACUGCCUGUUAGACCUCGGAUUGGCAAACCUAAACUCCUUCACUGGCAAAAUGUAGAUGCAAAUUAAAUGCCAAAAUUAACAUUUCAAUAUUCGUUUUGCGUAUUUCACCAAUAGCUUCGUAACUAGACGGACCUCAUAUAUAAUUUGCUCUUCAAAGAUGCGGUCAGGCGCCCCUCCGUUAUAUAACGUUUUCUGCCCGCUACGAAAUAGACCGAGCAAUAGCAACCCUUUAGGCUAUCUAAUGUGAGGUUGGAUAUACGCAACAUGUAGAGGUGUUUCAACAACAAAGAUGGAAGUUAGUGAACUAAAGACUCUAUAUGCUCACUAAAAGAACAAACGACUACUACUCUUAAAGAUUUUGAGGAAUAUGUAUUUCUGCAUCACCAGUUCCAAUGCUAUGAUUAGUCGAGGCCUAUCCAAUAGCAUAGCAUCGACCCAUUUUAGGUCGCGCCGUUUAGACACGCCCCUUGGAAAUUGAACAACGCACUUCAACCAUGACUUCAACGCAGAGGAUCCAGAAGGAUUUCACAAAGAGUCCAUUGGAAGAUAUCGAGGAACAUGAACAUCACCAAUGAAGGAGAGUAACGUUUCCACUUGCUAUAGGAUUUUAGUGAAGCACUAAAUAGAUAAUAAUAAUAAUAAUAAUAAAAUGUGGUCACCAUUUAUUGACUUUUUGGGUAAGACUUGCUUUACUAAUAUAACCGUGUUAAAACCGCAUUCCUUUACUUUUCUUGUGUAGUUUCCCACUAUUCAUUAAAUGUGUUAUAGAAGUAAAAAAGUAAUCAAUAGAACUAUACACAUUUUUACAACAAUUAAUCAUUAUACAGGAUUUGAACAUUUUCUAUUCGAGCUCAUGCUUCAUAAUAUUUCCAAGGAUUGCAGAGUACCAAAUGAUUUAUGAACAGUGGUUUGUUUUUGUUCAGGAGCGGAUUGUACUCCCAGAGGCUUCAACAGAGCGGGUCUGGAGCUGGGAGCUGCAGGUGGAUGGUGGCCAGGAGCCGUUUAGUCCUACAGGAACAGACGGAGGUGAUGGAGGCGGUCGUCUGGAGGUGCUCGUCUGGAGGUCCGUGGCGGUCGUCUGGAGGUGCUCAUCUGGAGGUCCCUGGCGGUCGUCUGGAGGUGCUCGCCGUGAGGUCCAUGGCGGUCGUCUGGAGGCGCUCGCUGCAGGUGGAGGGAAGGCCGGGAGCCGUGCAGCCCAACGGAUGCAGAACGAAGGACUGAGGCGGAGGUCCUGGAGGGAGAGGCCAGCCUGGAGGGAGAGGCUAGCCUGGAGGCGGUGGUGGCCUGGAGGCGUCCAACCUGGAAGGGGAGGCAUGGAGAGCCAGGUGGCGGCUCCUCAUCCAAAGGGCCUGGAGGCGGCCAACCUGGAAGGCCUGGAGACGGUCGAGGUCCUGGAGGCAACGGCGGGCCUGGAGGUGGAGGCCAACCUGGAGGUCCUGGAGUCGGUGGGCCUGGAGGCGGCGGUUGGGUCCAACCUGGAGGGUCCGGCGGCGGCGGCGUCCUGGGGGGGCCCGGCGGCGGCGGCGUCCUGGAGGGCCCGGCGGCGGCGGCGUCCUGGAGGGUCCGGCGGCGGCGGCGUCCUGGAGGGCCUGGAGGCGGCGGCUCCUCAUCCAAAGAAAUGAGGCGACGUUGCGGAGGUCCAGGCGUUUGGCCCGGUGGAGGUCCUGGAGGAGACGGCCUGGAGGUGGAGGACGGCUGGGGGAUCCGGCGGUGGAGGUCCGAAGGCGGCUCGUGAUUAGACCAACCAGCUCCUCAUCCAUGGAAGGAUUGAAGGAGUCACUGGGGAUGAAGAUCACUGCUCAGGGGCUGACGACCCCCCUCCCCCUCAUCUUUCUGGAGAAGCGUCCUCAUGGUGCAGGCGGUCAAACCUCCACCUCUUUGAAGAGACCAAGCAGCUUAAUGACUGACUGGUUCUUUAUACUCCGGACCUCGUCCCGGAGCAGAGGACAGACCUAAGGCCUACAGCGCAGCAGACUAGAGACUCUCUGUGGAACCGGUUCAAUAAAGUUGACCUCUCCUUCAGGUGACUUAAAGGGAGACCAGAUGUGCGGCAGCUGGGUGUCAUGGUGCAGAGACCCAACGCUGGACUGUUCAAAUGCUGAGUGAGACCAGAUGGGGCUGUUCCUGCAUUUAUAGACAUUUGAUUGCCCUUGAAACUGAUUCUACUUUUUGCAUCAAUUUACUUCACAGCACUGAACUACACCAGUGUGUCCUACUCCCCAUAAACCCUGAGGAUCCCUGGCUACACCAGCACAUUAAUCCACACCCAACAUUAACACACAGUGCACACUCUAUAGAGCUUGUAAGUCCGCCCCUUGCGGCGGGACCUCGUGAGAUCGUAAGAUAUGACUGGGUUUCAAUGGAGAGAAAGUAAUUAUUUUCUCCAUUAUGUUGCACCACAUUUUGGGGGAAGAAUGUUUGAAUCAAUCUUUGUCAUUUAUUUCUGUACUCCAUAUCUGUAAUCCCAGCUGUUGUAUUUUAACACGGUAGCUGGGAAUCCUCUUUAUAGGGAGCGGCUAGAGGGACGAGCCUGGAAGCAAACCUGAGCCUGGAUCUUAACCUUCUUUCUAAACCUAAUGCCGCAAUUUAACCGCAAAUAAAGUGAGGCCUAAAGUAACUUGACUCUCUUACCUAAACUUGCUUGCCUAAACUCGCUUGUCUAAACUUGCUUGCAUAAAACCUAAACUUGCUUGCAUAAAACCUAAACUCGCUUGCAUAAAACCUAAACUCGCUUGCAUAAAACCUGAACUUGCUUAGCUAAACUCGCGUUGCUUGCCUAAUGCCUGAACUCGCUUGACCUGAACUCGCUUGCCUGAACUCGCUUGCCUGAACUUUGCUUGCCUGAACUCGCUUGCCUGAACUCGCUUGCCUUGCCCUGAACUCGCUUGCCUGAACUCGCUUGCCUGAACUCGCUUGCCUGAACUCGCUUGCCUGAACUCGCUUGCCUAGACUCGCUUGCCUAGCGCAAAUAAAGUGAGGCCUAAAGUAACUUGACCCUCUUACCUAAACUUGCUUGCCUAAACUCGCUUGCAUAAAACCUAAACUCGCUUGCAUAAAACCUAAACUCGCUUGCAUAAAACCUAAACUCGCUUGCAUAAAACCUAAACUCGCUUGAAUAAAACCUGAACUUGCUUGGCUAAACUCGCGUUGCUUGCCUAAUACCUGAACACGCUUGCCUGGACUCGCUUGCCUGGACUCGCUUGCCUGGACUCGCUUGCCUGGACUCGCUCGCUUGCCUGGACUCGCUUGCCUGGACUCGCUUGCCUAGACUCGUUUGCAUAAAACCUAGACUCGUUUGCCUAAUACCUGAAGUCGCUUACCUAAAACCUAAACUUGCUUGUCCAAACACGUUACGCAAAGUUAACCAUCCAUAAUCUUGAACCCAAACCAGACUUGUCCCUGGGUCGCUCCACUUUCAUUUAGAAGUUUCUUCUUUAACCUCAUCUACGUUUUGAGUUUCAUUCUUCGAGGGCUUGAAGUGCUUUGGAGGAUAUUUGAACCUUUGUUUUCCGCAUCAAUAAACAUGCUUUAUCUUUACCCAUUUUGUUUUGGAUUGCAUUUCUAUGUGUAAUCUGGCCAAAUGUUCAGUGUCCUUACAUGUAAUGUCUAUGGUCUGACGAUAAUCUGACCUCUUCAUGAAGCAGAAUGUGAUUGUUGUCCCGUGAGCUCCAGGCGCUCUGUGGGCCUGUCAACGUCUCUUUAGCAAAAGGUUGGAGUGAAAUUCAUUUUUGUGCCAUUUUCAUGUGUUCCUGAGUAUUUCAGACCUGUGGUGUUUCACAUGAGACCUUAAAGGGAACUUUUCCUUUUCUGCCUGCAUAUGUAAUGCCUACAUUAGUAGGGUGAUCACUGUUGAUCCCAAUAUUGAUCAUUAACCACCUCAUUCUUUUAUGAUUUUUUUCGUUAAGGAUUACAAAUCAUGUAAUUUAUGAGCAUAUUUGCAAAUGGCUCCAAAUAUCAGAUUGUGUAAAAACUAAUGAAAUAUAACCUGCUUGAUUUAAAGAAAAUAAAACAUCCAAAUAUUAUAAACCUGUUUUGUGUUGCUCUCUUACCAUUUGGAAAUGGAAACGCAGAUAGAUAUUUUUAGCUCUGAUUUGCUGCCUCCCUUUGGUGUGGUGCUGGGAU